AUGCACCCUGUUGCUCCCUCCUAUGAGAAAAGAAUUUGGCCAGUGCAUUAUAUCUCGGGGUGGAUGGGUCUUUAUCUGAGAAAACCAUUUAAGGACAAAGUGAAAGGGAAACAUCUUCCAGAUGUUAAGCAACUGCCGAUGCGUCCAACCAUGGUUAAAACUAUGUUUUGGGUUCCCAUAACUUUCAGUCCUGCUAAGGCACGCAUUUUCCUUGAUGACCGAGCCAAUAUUUUUUGGAAUCCUUAUACUCCAAAGAACUUAGUCGGGGUGGAUCAGUUGCAAAGGUCCUUCACCAUUUCUUCACAUUGGGGUAUGCUUCCAUGGAUGCGUGCUACUGAUGUUGAUGAUCUUUGCAUAGCGGAGCUAUAUCAUCCUGAUCGAGUUGCACGACAACUUACUUUGAGACAACAAGUGCCCUAUGCUUCGUUGGUCAGCGUGUACACAAAGGAGGAUACUAGCGUUGCAUAUGCGUAUUGGUCGCAUUUGUUGGGCUUGGACCAAGGAGAGUUCCAGUACCUUCUUAAUGAUGUGCAUGAGGCAUUUUCUUCUGUGGCCUGGAACAACUGGUGGGUGGGAUUUAUGAAACCAUUAACAGCAUAUUCAAUACUCUUCGUCCGGGCAUCUUGA
rnacentral:rRNA from 1 species